rnacentral:lncRNA from 1 species
AUCAUUUGACCACGUGGCAACAGCUUAUUAUCUAAAUUAUGAAUAUUCUUCUGGGUCAUGUCAGCUGUUUACCGAUCUGCAUCUUCAGCUUAUCGUUCUGUCGACCUAACUUUGCUAGAGUUGAUCUUUUUUGAAAAGUAUAAUGCUUAUUUUAACUUUCUGUCGAUCUACCGUAAACUACAUCGAUCUUUUAUUGAUAUGAUUAUAAGGCAUUAAGGAUACUUGAUACUCAAUUUAGUCAAUUUCCAAUCUAAGAUGAGUCACAUCAGUUAUGCACUGAUGUAAAUUUUGGGAUGCAAAUGAUUAUCUCGC